UACAGAGGUGGCAAGCGUUGUUCGGAAUUACUGGGCGUAAAGGGCGCGUAGGCGGCCUUCUAAGUCAGACGUGAAAUCCCCCGGCUUAACCUGGGAACUGCGUCUGAUACGGGCAAGCUAGAAUUCGGUAGGGGAGACUGGAAUUCCUGGUGUAGCGGUGAAAUGCGCAGAUAUCAGGAGGAACACCGGUGGCGAAGGCGGGUCUCUGGGCCGAAAUUGACGCUGAGGAGCGAAAGCGUGGGGAGCAAACAGG
rnacentral:rRNA from 1 species